CUCGGCUUCGGAAGUUCAGCCAGACUUCCGGUUUUUCGGCAAGGAUAGCUUGGGCUUGUGGCCCAAGAGAGGAGGGAAGCCUCAAGAUCUGGUGAGCCCUCCAAUUCUGGAUUAUAGUUCAUUCCAGAUAUAGUCAAGUUGACAACAAGGAAUAACCAUUACAGUAACACAGUCACAGAGUUAAACACAAACUCAAAAGAGUCAAAACAGAUAAUGAGAAGUGUUCUUUGCACUCCCGCCCCCAACCUCUGCCUUGCCUCACGGCCCAGCUCCCUCCAAGUCGACCCUUCAACGUCCGUAUUCACAAAGGCACUUGCUUCAUCAUCUGCAGCAAAAUGUGGAGACAUGAAGGAUACUGUGUCAAGUGACAGAAGAGACAGACGCAGAGUGAACAACCAGCACCACAGCUGCCUUGAAGCCAGUCUUCUGUUUGCCUUCAGAUGAAGAUGUAGACCUCUAAGCUCGUCCUGCACCAUGCCUGCCUGGAUGCUGCCAUGUUCCCGCCUUAACAAAAAUGAACCUCUGAACCUGUAAGCCAGCCCCAAUUAAAUGUUAUCUUUAUAA